UGACCACUUUUGCCGAUCAAAGGCAGAAGUCAAGGCUGCGGUGAAGCCGGGUCAAAUGCCGA
rnacentral:sRNA from 1 species